AAGAGAUUUUUUUUUCCUUUUACGAGAGAACGUUCGGAGGGGCUAGAACUGGGUGAUACGCACUGGCUGCGCUGAAUCUGUCUUUUCUCCCCUCCUAGGUGGACAUCGAGGCCCUGUGGGUGGCCCUACAGCGUGGAAGGGAUGACCGAGCUUUGGGACAUGUCCUGGUAAGUCAGUUGUGGAAGCUCGGUGGCCGGUGAAGCCAAACUCCGUAUCUUGAAUUCAUUUUCAGGACUAAUUCUCUCCCCUAGACUUCUGGGGACUGGGAGACUGCAGUAUGGGUCGUGCAGGAUUGGAGUGAUAUACUUAGCAAGCCUCCAGCGUGCUUGGGUCUGCAGUGACCCUGUGCAUUCCUACAGUGCUUGCCAGAACAAUUUUGAAGUGGUUUGAGGCCUUGCCCUGCCCUCUCCAGAGCAAGGUUAUAGAAAUUUCAGACAAUAUGG
rnacentral:lncRNA from 1 species